CAAAUACUCCCUCCAUCCGGAAAUACUUGUCAUCAAAAUGGAUAAAAGGAAAUGUAUCUAGACGUAUUUUAGUUUUAGAUACAUCUCUUUUUAUCCAUUUUGAUGACAAGUAUUUUCGGACGGAGGGAGUAGAAA
rfam:Triticum aestivum genome assembly, contig: Triticum_aestivum_CS42_TGACv1_scaffold_216808_3AS